GUCAUGUGUCAACUUGACUGGCCGAGGAGGAGCGAGGAUUGCUCAUAGGCACAGUUGGUACGUUGGUGCUGGCAGUCAGCUCUGUGUGAUCCCUUAUCGUUCAGUGGAUCAAAAGGAAGCUCUUUGCUACUGCUCCAGACCCAUGCCUGCCUGUGGACAUGCUCGGUGCCAUGAUGGUGCCUGCCUGUGGAUAUGCUCGGUGCCGUGAUGACAUCUGCCUGUCUGUGGACGUGCUCGGUACCGUGAUGCCUGCCUGUCUGUGGACAUGCUCGGUACCAUGAUAACGCCUGUCUGAACUUAAUGCUCUGAAACUUUAAGCGGACUCCCAGUGAUUUGGGGAGGAAGAAAGCAUCUGCUCCAGCACAUCCCCAUCCUGACUCCCUGAGGAUGCCUGGCUCAGUCGUCUGCAGAUGCAGGCCGCGGAUAUAGAAGGUACUGGACCAACCUGGCAAGUCCAGCUCCUUACGUCACCAUGUGUUCCUCACCCUCAGCUUGAAGUUCCCUCACAGGGGCACUGAUGCCACUUAAGCAGGACUGGAAAAAUGGUCAGGUGGCCUUUUCUACCCUCCCGGGCAGCAUACUUUCUGUUAACACUUUCAAAGGAAACUCUAGAGUUGCUUUGGAGGAAAUGUCAAGUUGGAAAUGGUGGGAGAAAUCCAGAUGCCCCCUUUCCAGUUACCAUGAUAA